ACGUCCUUCUGAGCUCACUUCCGUCGGCUGGAGUCGGAUCACGGUUCUUCCACUCUCUCCCGGCUUCUCCUUCUCCCAUUUCCAGCCAGCCUGCCUUGCUGAAUAGACGGGGAAGCAGCAGGGAAGUGAACCGAGAGGCUGCCGCCGCUUCGCCACAUGCACAGCGCAGUCCGCACAGAGGAUACGCUUCCCUCCGUAGUUACAUAACUGGACUACUUUUGUUUUUUUCUUCUUCUUUCGUUAUUGGGAUUUUCCUCCUCCUCUCCCUCUUCCUCUCUUUCUCACACUCUCCCGAAUUAAACUCAACAAAAUGGAGAACGACGAGAAAUACCUUCCCGAGCUGCUGGCGGAGAAGGACAGCCUGGACUCGUCGUUCACGCACGCCAUGAAACUUUUAAACGCAGAAAUUGAUAGAAUGCAGAAAGGCGAGACUAAAAAGGAGGCAGAAACAUACCUGGACCUUUUCACAACAAAGAACAUCAAACUUAAGGAACGAGUGCUCAUACCUGUCAAACAGUACCCGAAGUUCAAUUUCGUGGGGAAGAUUUUGGGACCUCAGGGCAAUACGAUCAAACGUCUGCAAGAAGAGACCGGAGCCAAGAUCUCUGUGCUGGGCAAAGGAUCUAUGAGAGACAAAUCCAAGGAGGAGGGUCUCAGGAAAGGCGGCGAGCCGAAGUACGCCCACCUGUCUAUGGAGCUGCACGUGUUCAUCGAGGUGUUCGCCCCCGUUCCCGAGGCGUACAUGCGUAUGGCGCACGCCAUGGAGGAGGUCAAGAAGUUCCUGUUUCCUGACAUGAUGGAUGAUAUCUGCCAAGAGCAGUUCAUGGAGAUGAGCUAUCUGAACGGCGGCCAGGAGCACGGAGGCCGAGGCCGAGGGGGCAUGCCGGUCAGGGGCCGCGGGGUUCCCCUUGGUGGAGCGCACAGGGGUCGAGGGAUGCCACCUCGUGGUGGCGCCGCCAGGGGAGGUGUGACUCGAGGCGGCCCAGCCAGAGGCGGCGCGGUGAGGGGCGCCCCGGCGGGUAGAGGAGGACCGCCCGCAGCACCCGCCAGGGGGGCUGUGGCACCCCGCGCCAGACCCCCAGCCGGCGGACCACCUCAGAGGAUGGCACCGCCGCCUCCACACCAGCACACACCCGGUGGCGCCGCAGAGGGCUACGAGGAUUAUGGCUACGAUGAGAGCUACACAGACACGGCCUACGAGUCAUACGACAGCUAUUACAGUCAGCCGCAGGCAGAACCAGAAUAUUACGACUACGGACACGGAGAGACCACGGAGUCAUACGAGUCGUACGGCCAGGACGACUGGAACGGCACCCAGCGCACAGCCCCAGGAAAGGCCCUGGCCCCCUCUCGAGGUGCCAAGACGCCUUACCGGGAUCACCCAUACCGACAGUACUGAAGCCGACUCACCACCCUUAACAGUGUCACCCUGACAGCCGCCUGUCCACCAACGGCAGCUCUCGCUUUAAGAAGCCCGACAAAAGCACAGCUAUCGGUCACUGAGUGCCCGGAGACUGACAGUCUGCUGACCAGAGACCCGUACUAACCUCAGUGAAGCCGAGCAGCUCGGUGCAAACGAGGAGGAGGUGGUGGUCAGAUGGGUUGGGGGAGGGGCGACCCUCAUUGGGUUGAAAGACCUAGCUCUGUUCUGUGACGAAGGUUCUCGCCACCCCCCUAAAAAAAGAAUUAAAAGGAGCCAAGAAAUGCCGACACACGGGAAGUGUGGAAACCUUGACCAGCCAGGCCGACGAUGGAAAACCGAACGAAGAGCAGAGAGCUCGUCACAUGGACUGUUCGCCUGCUAUUUAUACCUUUUUCCCGUCAGGCUCAAAUUACAGCGCGUUAUCCUGGUGUGAUGAUUUUCCAGCAGCGGAGAUGCCCACCCUCCAGCCAUUGUGCGCAUAUAAGACCACCCGCUCUUCUGCUUCUUGCCACAAAUGUAAUUGUUCCAGGCUAAUUCGCCAUAAAAUGAGCCGGUCCCUGUUAUAGCGGGCUGUGAAAUCGUUUUUAAUUCCUGGUAACCCUCGAAUUACAUCUGAAAGGAGCUUCGUUAUACUUUCUGCAAGGCAAGCAUCAUUCAAGCAGAGUCUUGUGACACAUGCAUUUCAAGUAUUUGAUUUCUUUUUUUUUUUUGUUAGCAUUCCGCCAGCGUGCUUGUUUAGUAUCCACGCCUUACUGCGGCGUGAAAUUCCACCCCGGGGACGGAGAGUUUAAGGGGCGCCCCCGUGAGCGCGGAUCGCAUCUCUCCGACUCCCACAGAUCGGCCUCGAGGAACAUCGAAUGCAAAUGCGGCGGGCCCCAUUUGCAUGCGUUCGCAUGUGUGCGCCCCCCCCCCCCCUCCCUCCCCAGAUCCCACCUCCAAAAUGUGCAAAACGCUUUCAUAACGGAGCGCUGGCCUGCUCGCGCCAGAGUAUGGUAAUCGGGCGAGACGGUGCCAGGAAGGAGGGCUGCAUGCGAGGGAAAAGGGACAGAGGGUGAAGACAGACAUCACUAAACACCGCUCCCAUCUAUCCAUCUAUCCAUCAUGCUUGUGUUGAUUUGAUUCACCCCCCCCCCCCCUCCUCCGAUGCCAUUUUCAGCCAUUAUCACUGAUGGUAUUACCGCAGCCCGUGGUGCAGAGUUACAUUUAGAGGUCAAAACUGCACUUUCCUGGAUUAAAAACAAAUUUCUCUGUCCCGAGCCGCUGGUCAGAGGCGGCAUUAGCCAGCUCAGAGGCUCCAUUUAGUUUAUUGGAAGAGCUGAGGAGCUUCCGAGGAUAGAGCCUCAGAUAUUAAGGAUAGAAACCAUCAUUUGAGAUGAAACGUCAGCGGGGGCCAGAGCUUGAAAACAAACCAUUUUUCAGGCUUUAUGCGCCAUUAUGUCUAAAAUAAUGAUUUCUGCGUCUCCCUGUAAUCUAAUGAAAGAUAAGUGAUGGUGUGGGAGCCGUCUCCUUUGUUGGAAUCGAUGAACUGUCAGAAGUGCAAAAGUAAAUGUUUCUGUGCAAUGAUCAA